UGGGUGGAACCAUUAUAGAGAAUAAGCAGAAGUGUGAGAGAGACCGAUACGGAUGUGCGUAUAUGUUUAUAUUUGACUGUGAUCUGAUACAACUGUUUUUUGAAUAUUCGUGAGACUGAAGUCAAACCAUCAUCAUCACCAUCAUCAUAACUCAGGAUUUGUACCAGAGCUCUUUGCAUCGCAUGUAAAAUUCUGUACCAGCUGAGCUGCCGAGCAAGCUUGUUACAUCAGUAAAACUGAACAUCUGGAGCUGGGAAUUCAAAAUGCAGCAGCAAAAUCAGACCAUGGACACCGACUAUAUCUACAGCGAUUAUAACUACAGUGAUUUCAUCAUCCCUACCCCACCUACUGAUAUAGUUUAUGAAGUUCAAAUAAUCAGACUGUUAAUCUUCUCCAUCAGUGCUAUGUGUGUGGGGGUGCCGUGUCUGAUUUGGGCUUUUUAUUGUGUGCACCUUCAGAGAAAGACCAGAGGCCAGAUCUCAGCCUUCAUCAUCCUCCUCCUCCUCAUUGACCUGCUGCAACUGCUCAUAUAUAUACCAUGUUUCAUAUCCAAUUUCUUUGGCACAGGGCUUGGAUAUUGUUUUCUGAAAGUCUGUGGCCUUCACCUGCAUCAGCUGGUGGCUCUGGAGGGGGUUCUGACACUGAAAUAUCCAAUGGUUUCUGCUCAUAUUUCCUCAAAACCCAGUUACGUAAUAAUCUCCAUCAUUAUACUUCUUUUUCCUUUAGUAUGUGGAUUAUUGGUGGCUUUUAUUGGUCCUGUGGGUGUGUAUCUUGGUUUUGGCUCAAUUCUGGCACCUGUGUGUUUAUUGGUUGUCACAGGCAUAAUCACCUACAAAGCCCCACCCACUGCUUCCAGAACACCUGUGACUGACAACAGACCAGGUGCAUCUGUGUUUCUUGUUACCAUGGUUACCUUGGUUGUGCUCUAUUUACCAUGUGUUUUGGUUUUUUGUGUUAGAAUCUUCCAAUAUAUACCAGUAUCUUGGAAUGUGAUGUCUUUUUGCUUGUUGAAUUUAACAGUGAUUUCAGAGCCUCUCUUGUGUGUGCUGGUCUGUAGAGAGAAUCUCAGCACUCAGACAAAACAACCACACAUAGAGCUCAACUCUGAACAGACAUCAGUCUGAACUGAAUAUCCAGCAGAGGCUUAUUUCAGUUCAAAUUUAUGCAAGAAAUAUAAAAUCACAAAUACGUAAUUCUUUUUUUCCCCUUGCAAAAUGGCUUAAAAUGGCUUAUGACACCUUUACACACACACACACACACACACACACACACACACACACACACACACACACACACACACACACACUUAUAUUGUUUUUAUAUACAGCUAGUAAAAAAUACUUUAUUUUUAUAAAUAAGUAAAAAAAAUUACAAAUGAUGAUAUCCCCGAAAGGAGGCCAUAUUUCACACCGACACAAUUUAUAUAUUAAAUGUAAUAUGAAUAUAACAGUUUUUGGUGUAACGUUUUAUGACAGCUAAUAAUGCCUGCUUUGAUUUGUCACGAAUUGCUUUGAUUUGAAUUUGCUAUUGGAUCUACAAACCUAUGCAUUACAUGUUUAAUCGUCUAUAUAACAAGUUAAAUGCACUGAUGAAUGAUUAUCAAAACAAUUUAAUAUACUAAAACGUUUCUCAGCCUUGAA